rnacentral:piRNA from 1 species
UGGACUUCUACGAUUUAGAGGGAACU